rnacentral:rRNA from 1 species
AUGGAUUUCCCCUCUUUCGAUGGGGAAAACCCACAAUUCUGGAAUACUAGAUGUGAAAAAUACUUCGAUGUCUAUGGGGUCACUCCAGAGCUUUGGGUUCGUGUAGCCACCCUCAAUUUUACUGGCAAUGCAGCUAGAUGGUUGCAACUGUAUGAAUUGCAGAGUGCUUCGUUCACUUGGGAAUCCCUGUGCACAACUCUGUGCUCUAAGUUUGGUCGAGAGCAGUAUCAAGCUCACCUUCGGCAGUUUAACACUUUGCGUCAGUCAGGCACUGUAGGGGAUUACAUGACCAAGUUUGAGGAGUUGAUGCACCAUAUCUUAGCUCAUAACCCUGCU